rnacentral:rRNA from 1 species
UACGUAGGGGGCGAGCGUUGUCCGGAUUUAUUGGGCGUAAAGAGCUCGUAGGCGGUUGGGUAAGUCGGGUGUGAAAACUCAGGGCUCAACUCUGAGACGCCACUCGAUACUGCUCUGACUCGAGUCCGGUAGGGGAGCGUGGAAUUCCCGGUGUAGCGGUGAAAUGCGCAGAUAUCGGGAGGAACACCAGUGGCGAAGGCGGCGCCUCUGGGCCGGAACUGACGCUGAGGAGCGAAAGCGUGGGUAGCAAACAGG